rnacentral:rRNA from 1 species
UACGUAGGUGGCAAGCGUUGUCCGGAUUUAUUGGGUUUAAAGGGUGCGUAGGCGGCCUAUUAAGUCAGUGGUGAAAUAUCUCAGCUUAACUGAGAAGGUGCCAAUGAUACUGAUGGGCUUGAGUACAGAUGAGGUAGGCGGAAUUGACGGUGUAGCGGUGAAAUGCUUAGAUAUUGUCAAGAACACCAAUUGCGAAGGCAGCUUACUAAGUUAUAACUGACGCUGAGGCACGAAAGUGCGGGAAUCAAACAGG